rnacentral:rRNA from 1 species
GAUGAACGCUGGCGGCGUGCCUAAUACAUGCAAGUCGAGCGAACAGAUGAGGAGCUUGCUCCUCUGACGUUAGCGGCGGACGGGUGAGUAACACGUGGAUAACCUACCUAUAAGACUGGAUAACUUCGGGAAACCGGAGCUAAUACCGGAUAAUAUAUUGAACCGCAUGGUUCAAUAGUGAAAGACGGUUUUGCUGUCACUUAUAGAUGGAUCCGCGCCGCAUUAGCUAGUUGGUAAGGUAACGGCUUACCAAGGCAACGAUGCGUAGCCGACCUGAGAGGGUGAUCGGCCACACUGGAACUGAGACACGGUCCAGACUCCUACGGAAGGCAGCAGUAGGGAAUCUUCCGCAACGGGCGAAAGCCUGACGGAGCAACGCCGCGUGAGUGAUGAAGGUCUUCGGAUCGUAAAACUCUGUUAUUAGGGAAGAACAAAUGUGUAAGUAACUAUGCACGUCUUGACGGUACCUAAUCAGAAAGCCACGGCUAACUACGUG